rnacentral:rRNA from 1 species
GGGUAACGGGGUGUUAGGGCACGACACCGGAGAGGGAGCCUGAGAAACGGCUACCACAUCCAAGGAUGGCAGCAGGCGCGCAAAUUACCCAAUCCCGACACGGGGAGGUAGUGACAAUAAAUAACAAUACGGGGUUCUUUCGGAUCUCGUAAUUGGAAUGAGUACAAUUUAAAUCUCUUAACGAGGAACAAUUGGAGGGCAAGUCUGGUGCCAGCAGCCGCGGUAAUUCCAGCUCCAAUAGCGUAUAUUAAAGUUGUUGCAGUUAAAAAGCUCGUAGUUGAAUUUCGGGGUUAGUAGGUUGGUCAUGCCUCUGGUAUGUACUGGUCUCACUGAUUCCUCCUUCCUGAUGAACCGUAAUGCCAUUAAUUUGGUGUUUCGGGGAAUUUGGACUGUUACUUUGAAAAAAUUAGAGUGUUUAAAGCAAGCUAACGCUUGAAUACAUUAGCAUGGAAUAAUGAAAUAGGACGUUCGAUCCUAUUUUGUUGGUUUCCAGGAUUGACGUAAUGAUUAAUAGGGAUAGUUGGGGGCAUUAGUAUUCAAUUGUCAGAGGUGAAAUUCUUGGAUUUAUUGAAGACUAACUACUGCGAAAGCAUUUGCCAAGGAUGUUUUCAUUAAUCAAGAACGAAAGUUAGGGGAUCGAAGACGAUCAGAUACC